CCACCGAUAUAUGCACCAAUUA
rnacentral:miRNA from 2 species